rnacentral:rRNA from 1 species
GUGGGGAAUAUUGGGCAAUGGGGGAAACCCUGACCCAGCGACGCCGCGUGAGGGAAGAAGGCCUUAGGGUCGUAAACCUCUGUUGUGUGGGAAGAAGAGCGUGACGGUACCACACGAGGAAGUCCCGGCUAACUACGUGCCAGCAGCCGCGGUAAUACGUAGGGGACGAGCGUUGUCCGGAUUUACUGGGCGUAAAGUGCGCGUAGGCGGUCAUUUAAGUCAGCUGUGAAAUGGUUUGGCUUAACCGGAUCAUGCGGUUGAAACUGGCUGACUGGAGUGCUGGAGAGGCAAGUGGAAUUCCCAGUGUAGCGGUGAAAUGCGUAGAUAUUGGGAAGAACACCGGUGGCGAAGGCGACUUGCUGGCCAGCAACUGACGCUGAGGCGCGAAAGCCAGGGGAGCAAACGGGAUUAGAUACCCUAGUAGUCC